CUUUUGCGCAUUUGUCUUUGUAUCAGCCGUAGCGGUCUGCAGGGGGAAUCGCAGAAGCUGGAGUUUCUUAGAGCGCUGCAUGGGUUUGGACAAACAUUAGGGAGAAGCAAACACAAACGAUUCGUGAGUGCAUCGUACGUGUUGUAAGAGCAAGUGAAGCUGAAAGACAUUGACAGUGAAGUGAUGGCUCCCUCUAUCAAUCUCUUCACCUUCCUCGUCCUGUCCCUGGUGGGGGGCAGCUCUUCAUGGGACGAAGCUUCGCCUUGCGGAUCCGGCUCCAUCCUGACAAGGCCCUACACGGCCUUGUGUGAGCUGGAUGCGG